rnacentral:rRNA from 1 species
AUUGAACGCUGGCGGCAGGCUUAACACAUGCAAGUCGAGCGAGCGGCGGACGGGUGAGUAAUGUCUGGGAAACUGCCUGAUUGAGGGGGAUAACUACUGGAAACGGUAGCUAAUACCGCAUACCAUCAGAUGUGUCCAGAUGGGAUUAGCUAGUAGGUGGGGUAAUGUCUCACCUAGGCGACGAUCCCUAGCUGGUCUGGGAGGAUGACAAGCCACAGUGGCACUGAGACACGGUCCAGACUCCUAAGGAAGGCAGCAGUGGGGAAUAUUGCACAAUGGGCGAAAGCCUGAUAAAGCCAUGCCGCGUGUGUGAAGAAGGCCUUCGGGUUGGAAAGCACUUUCAGCGAGGAGGCGUUACUCGCAGAAGAAGCACCGGCUAACUCCGUGCCAGCAGCCGCGAUAAUUC